rnacentral:rRNA from 1 species
ACGGGAGGCAGCAGUGAGGAAUAUUGGUCAAUGGACGGAAGUCUGAACCAGCCAUGCCGCGUGAAGGAAGGCGGCCCUAUGGGUUGUAAACUUCUUUUGCCGCAGAGUAAUAAGCGGGAUGCGUCCCGUGAUGAGAGUAUGCGGCGAAUAAGCAUCGGCUAACUCCGUGCCAGCAGCCGCGGUAAUACGGAGGAUGCAAGCGUUAUCCGGAUUUAUUGGGUUUAAAGGGUGCGUAGGCGGAGCAUUAAGUCAGCGGUGAAAUAUCCCGGCUCAACCGGGAGGCUGCCGUUGAUACUGAUGGUCUCGAGUCCGAACGGCGCCGGCGGAAUAUGUAAUGUAGCGGUGAAAUGCAUAGAUAUUACAUAGAACACCGAUCGCGAAGGCAGCUGGCGAGGACGGCACUGACGCUGAGGCACGAAGGUGCGGGGAUCAAACAGGAUUAGAUACCCUGGUA